UGGAGUGUAGCCAAGCGGUAAGGCGCGCGGCUGUUAACCGCGUUAUGCGCAGGUUCGAAUCCUGCCGCUCCAGCCA
rnacentral:tRNA from 1 species